AUUCUGGGAUUGGUAGUUUUUUUCCUCAAUGAGAAGAGCAAAGCCCACAUCCAACCUACUGGAGAACAUUCAGGGCCUUCAGAUUUUCAUUUGAAUAUGGUCUGUUUCUUCUGCUGCUCACUGUAAACCUUAAGAAGGUGGACACCUACUCCAUUUUAGAUGUUUAAAGAUACUGAGAACAGAACCGAGGGCCUUUUGUGUGUUGGGCAAGCAUUCUACCACAAGCUACAUCUCCAGUCUUAAAUAGUGGUGAUUAUACAAAGAGAAUGUCUGGAAGAUUAUACAAAAGCUUCCUGACUUUCAUCAUGUGAUAUCCUGCACCACUUUGGGACACUGUCAGCUAAAUGGUCAUCUACAGGUCAUCUACAGAUGAGACUCUUGACUUUGGAUACCCAGAACCAUGAGCCAAAAUAAGCUUUCUUUAAAACUUAUCUGGUAGAGAUUAUUAUCCAUUAUUAUCUAUUAGUAAUACUAAACAGAAUAAGACACAGGUUUCUUCCAUAAUUCCUCAGUGCCUUGAAACUCUCUGGAUCCACCAGGACUAA